GUACAUUGUGAUGUGCUCUCAAAGAGUCGAGUUGUUUGGGAAUGCAGCUCUAAAUGGGUGGUAAAUUCCAUCUAAAGCUAAAUAUUGGCGAGAGACCGAUAGCGAACAAGUACCGUGAGGGAAAGAUGAAAAGAACUUUGGAAAGAGAGUUAAACAGUACGUGAAAUUGUUGAAAGGGAAACGCUUGAAGUCAGUCACAUUGGUCAGUGAUCAACCUUGCUUUUUGCUUGGUGUAUUUUCUGAUCAAUGGGUCAGCAUCAAUUUUGACUGGUGGAAAAAGGCUGANGGAAUGUGGCAUCAUCUGANGUGUUAUAACCCUCUGUCAUAUACACUGGUUGGGAUUGAGGAACUCAGCAUGCCGCAAGGCCGGGUUUUAACCACGUUCAUGCUUAGGAUGCUGGCAUAAUGGCUUUAAUCGACCCGUCUUGAAACACGGACC
rnacentral:rRNA from 1 species